CAAUAGCGUAUAUUAAAGUUGUUGCAGUUAAAAAGCUCGUAGUUGAAUUUCUGGGCGGCCCGCCGGUCUUCCAUGUGUUGUACUGGGCGGCGCCGGCCAUCCUUGUGGGGAGGGCUCGCAUUUGGUUGCGUGUCGGAUCUGCAUCAUUUACUGUGAAAAAAUUAGAGUGUUUAAAGCAGGCUGUCGCUUGAAUACAUUAGCAUGGAAUAAUAAGAUAGGACUUCGGUCUAUUUUGUUGGUUGCGAACCGAGGUAAUGAUUAAUAGGGAUAGUUGGGGGUAUUCAUAUUUAAUUGUCAGAGGUGAAAUUCUUGGAUUUAUGAAAGAUGAACAACUGCGAAAGCAUUUACCAAGGAUGUUUUCAUUAA
rnacentral:rRNA from 1 species